AUUGAACGCUGGCGGCAGGCCUAACAAAUGCAAGUCGAACGAGUGGCGGACGGGUGAGUAAUGUCUGGGAAACUGCCUGAGGGAGGGGGAUAACUACUGGAAACGGUAGCUAAUACCGCAUAACAUCAGAUGUGCCCAGAUGGGAUUAGCUAGUUGGUGGGGCAACAGCGAACCAAGCGGACGAUCCCUAGCUGGUCUGAGAGGAUGACAGUCAACACUGGACCUGAAAGACGGUACAGACCCCUACGGGAGGCAGCAGUGGGGUAUAUUGCACAAUGGGCGCAAGCCUGAUGCAGCCAUGCCGCGUGUAUGAAGAAGGCCUUCGGGUUGUAAAGUACUUUCAGCGGGGAGUCGUUACCCGCAGAAGAAGCACCGGCUAACUCCGUGCCAGCAGCCGCGGUAAUUC
rnacentral:rRNA from 1 species